AAAGCCUAUUAUGGGAGGUGAACCGCAGCAGCACCCACUUUCGUCACUAGGAGACCUGAAAUCCUUCAUUAUUUACCUAACAGUUUGACUUCCCUAUGCCUCAAUUUCCCUAGCUGAAUAAUCAGCUAUAGAUAAUAAUAUCUGUCCUUUCUACCCCUCAGAGAUAGUUUAAGAGUUAUUUUUGAAGAGAGAAGUUUUAAGUAAACAUCCAAAUGGAAUAAACCUCAUAUCUUGUUGAAGUUGAUAGAAGUGAACAUCACUCCUAAAACUACCAACUUUAUAUUUAUUUAUGUCAAGUGAGAUCCUCAAAAGUCACUCGGCAAUACCUACUUUUCAUGCUUGACAGUGAUCUGUGACCAGUGAUCUUUGAUGCUACUAUUGUAAUUAUAUUGGAGCACCACAAACCACGCCCAUAUCAGAUGGUGAACUUAACUGACAAAAGUUGGUAACACAUUUACCCAGGACCCACGGUAAUAUCAUCCACUCGACGAUGGUUGGUGGUGGACCUUGCCUGUUCAAGUC